rnacentral:rRNA from 1 species
GACGAACGCUGGCGGCGUGCCUAAUACAUGCAAGUAGAACGCUGAAGGAGGAGCUUGCUUCUCUGGAUGAGUUGCGAACGGGUGAGUAACGCGUAGGUAACCUGCCUGGUAGCGGGGGAUAACUAUUGGAAACGAUAGCUAAUACCGCAUAAGAGUAGAUGUCGCAUGACAUUUGCUUAAAAGGUGCAAUUGCAUCACUACCAGAUGAACCUGCGUUGUAUUAGCUAGUUGGUGAGGUAACGGCUCACCAAGGCAACGAUACAUAGCCGACCUGAGAGGGUGAUCGGCCACACUGGGACUGAGACACGGCCCAGACUCCUACGGGAGGCAGCAGUAGGGAAUCUUCGGCAAUGGACGGAAGUCUGACCGAGCAACGCCGCGUGAGUGAAGAAGGUUUUCGGAUCGUAAAGCUCUGUUGUAAGAGAAGAACGAGUGUGAGAGUGGAAAGUUCACACUGUGACGGUAUCUUACCAGAAAGGGACGGCUAACUACGUG